rnacentral:rRNA from 1 species
AUAGGGGAGCCGGAGGGAAACCGAGUCUUAAUUGGGCGUUAAGUUGCAGGGUAUAGACCCGAAACCCGGUGAUCUAGCCAUGGGCAGGUUGAAGGUUGGGUAACACUAACUGGAGGACCGAACCGACUAAUGUUGAAAAAUUAGCGGAUGACCUGUGGCUGGGGGUGAAAGGCCAAUCAAACCGGGAGAUAGCUGGUUCUCCCCGAAAGCUAUUUAGGUAGCGCCUCGUGAAUUCAUCUCCGGGGGUAGAGCACUGUUUCGGCUAGGGGGCCAUCCCGGCUUACCAACCCGAUGCAAACUGCGAAUACCGGAGAAUGUUAUCACGGGAGACACACGGCGGGUGCUAACGUCCGUCGUGAAGAGGGAAACAACCCAGACCGCCAGCUAAGGUCCCAAAGUCAUGGUUAAGUGGGAAACGAUGUGGGAAGGCCCAGACAGCCAGGAUGUUGGCUUAGAAGCAGCCAUCAUUUAAAGAAAGCGUAAUAGCUCACUGGUCGAGUCGGCCUGCGCGGAAGAUGUAACGG